rnacentral:rRNA from 1 species
GACGUAGGGCGCGAGCGUUGUCCGGAUUUAUUGGGCGUAAAGAGCUCGUAGGCGGCUUGUCGCGUCGACUGUGAAAUCCCGCGGCUCAACUGCGGGUCUGCAGUCGAUACGGGCAGGCUAGAGUUCGGUAGGGGAGACUGGAAUUCCUGGUGUAGCGGUGAAAUGCGCAGAUAUCAGGAGGAACACCGGUGGCGAAGGCGGCAUCCUGGACCGACACUGACGCUGAGGAGCGAAAGCCAGGGGAGCAAACGGGG